UAGGGAAUCUUCCGCAAUGGACGAAAGUCUGACGGAGCAACGCCGCGUGAGUGAAGAAGGAUUUCGGUUCGUAAAACUCUGUUGUUAGGGAAGAAAAAAUGUAUAGUAACUAUAUACAAAAGAGACGGUACCUAACCAGAAAGCCACGGCUAACUACGUGCCAGCAGCCGCGGUAAUACGUAGGUGGCAAGCGUUGUCCGGAAUUAUUGGGCGUAAAGCGCGCGCAGGUGGUUUAGAAAGUCUGAUGUGAAAGCCCACGGCUCAACCGUGGAGGGUCAUUUGAAACUAAUAAACUUGAGUGCAGGAGAGAAAAGGGGAAUUCCUAGUGUAGCGGUGAAAUGCGUAGAGAUUAGGAGGAACACCGGUGGCGAAAGCGGCUUUUUGGCCUGCAACUGACACUGAGGCGCGAAAGCGUGGGGAGCAAACAGG
rnacentral:rRNA from 1 species